UACGGGGGGGGAAAGCGUUGUUCGGAAUUACUGGGCGUAAAGGGCUCGUAGGCGGCCAACUAAGUCGGACGUGAAAUCCCUCAGCUUAACUGGGGAACUGCGUCUGAUACUGGAAGGCUUGAGGAUGGGAGAGGGAUGUAGAAUUCCAGGUGUAGCGGUGAAAUGCGUAGAUAUCUGGAGGAAUACCGGUGGCGAAGGCGGCAUCCUGGACCAUUACUGACGCUGAGGCGCGAAAGCUAGGGGAGCAAACGGG
rnacentral:rRNA from 1 species